rnacentral:rRNA from 1 species
UAGGGAAUCUUCGGCAAUGGACGAAAGUCUGACCGAGCAACGCCGCGUGAGUGAAGAAGGUUUUCGGAUCGUAAAACUCUGUUGUUAGAGAAGAACAAGGACGUUAGUAACUGAACGUCCCCUGACGGUAUCUAACCAGAAAGCCACGGCUAACUACGUGCCAGCAGCCGCGGUAAUACGUAGGUGGCAAGCGUUGUCCGGAUUUAUUGGGCGUAAAGCGAGCGCAGGCGGUUUCUUAAGUCUGAUGUGAAAGCCCCCGGCUCAACCGGGGAGGGUCAUUGGAAACUGGGAGAAUUGAGUGCAGAAGAGGAGAGUGGAAUUCCGUGUGUAGCAGUGAAAUGCGUAGAUAUAUGGAGGAACACCAGUGGCGAAGGCGGCUCUCUGGUCUGUAACUGACGCUGAGGCUCGAAAGCGUGGGGAGCAAACAGG